AUGAUGAACGCUAGCUACAGGCUUAACACAUGCAAGUCGAGGGGUAGCAUGGUCUUAGCUUGCUAAGGCCGAUGGCGACCGGCGCACGGGUGAGUAACACGUAUCCAACCUGCCGUCUACUCUUGGACAGCCUUCUGAGAGGAAGAUUAAUACAAGAUGGCAUCAUGAGUCCGCAUGUUCACAUGAUUAAAGGUAUUCCGGUAGACGAUGGGGAUGCGUUCCAUUAGAUAGUAGGCGGGGUAACGGCCCACCUAGUCUUCGAUGGAUAGGGGUUCUGAGAGGAAGGUCCCCCACAUUGGAACUGAGACACGGUCCAAACUCCUACGGGAGGCAGCAGUGAGGAAUAUUGGUCAAUGGGCGAGAGCCUGAACCAGCCAAGUAGCGUGAAGGAUGACUGCCCUAUGGGUUGUAAACUUCUUUUAUAAAGGAAUAAAGUCGGGUAUGGAUACCCGUUUGCAUGUACUUUAUGAAUAAGGAUCGGCUAACUCCGUGCCAGCAGCCGCGGUAAUACGGAGGAUCCGAGCGUUAUCCGGAUUUAUUGGGUUUAAAGGGAGCGUAGAUGGAUGUUUAAGUCAGUUGUGAAAGUUUGCGGCUCAACCGUAAAAUUGCAGUUGAUACUGGAUAUCUUGAGUGCAGUUGAGGCAGGCGGAAUUCGUGGUGUAGCGGUGAAAUGCUUAGAUAUCACGAAGAACUCCGAUUGCGAAGGCAGCCUGCUAAGCUGCAACUGACAUUGAGGCUCGAAAGUGUGGGUAUCAAACAGGAUUAGAUACCCUGGUAGUCCACACGGUAAACGAUGAAUACUCGCUGUUUGCGAUAUACAGCAAGCGGCCAAGCGAAAGCGUUAAGUAUUCCACCUGGGGAGUACGCCGGCAACGGUGAAACUCAAAGGAAUUGACGGGGGCCCGCACAAGCGGAGGAACAUGUGGUUUAAUUCGAUGAUACGCGAGGAACCUUACCCGGGCUUAAAUUGCAGAUGAAUUACGGUGAAAGCCGUAAGCCGCAAGGCAUCUGUGAAGGUGCUGCAUGGUUGUCGUCAGCUCGUGCCGUGAGGUGUCGGCUUAAGUGCCAUAACGAGCGCAACCCUUGUCGUCAGUUACUAACAGGUUCCGCUGAGGACUCUGACAAGACUACCAUCGUAAGAUGUGAGGAAGGUGGGGAUGACGUCAAAUCAGCACGGCCCUUACGUCCGGGGCUACACACGUGUUACAAUGGGGGGUACAGAGGGCCGCUACCACGCGAGUGGAUGCCAAUCCCCAAAACCUCUCUCAGUUCGGACUGGAGUCUGCAACCCGACUCCACGAAGCUGGAUUCGCUAGUAAUCGCGCAUCAGCCACGGCGCGGUGAAUACGUUCCCGGGCCUUGUACACACCGCCCGUCAAGCCAUGGGAGCCGGGGGUACCUGAAGUGCGUAACCGCGAGGAGCGCCCUAGGGUAAAA
rnacentral:rRNA from 1 species